GGGAGUAAGCAUGAGUGAAGAGAAAGACAUCUUUGGUGGGAUACUUUGUGAUUCUACGCCUUGAACACCUUGGAAGAGAAUGUUAUGGCACACAAGAUUGAGAGAAUAAUGGAAUUUAAACCUCUAAUUCUAUAGGGACAGCUGUUCCCUGGCUCACUUCUACUCUGGCCAAUCGUUACCACAACACAAGGAAGUGGGCACUGUCACCCCAAUCCUACAAUCGAGGCAUCUGGAGCUCAAUAAAGUUGUGACCUGCCCAAAGGCACAUAGCUGGAAAA